ensembl:lncRNA
UCAUCAUGUGCCAAACCCAUCCCAUUGCUGAGAAAACAAAAAACAACGACAACAACCACCGCCUCCACCUCCACCUCCACCUCCACCCCCCCUCCAUCCGUCUUGUUUCCCAUGCCCAUCAGAGGAGGGGCGUUCUGACCCGGGGUCUUAGGCGCCAUGGCGAUGGGUCAGCUGCGAACUGUGACCGCGAUGCCGAGUACCGUACGGCCCCGCCUCUCACGCCCACCAACGUCUGGAGGAACGCGAGUACAACAGGUGGAUUCGGGAGGGGGGCGGAGCCACAGUGGACUGCGGUCAGACGCCCCCCGACCAAUGAGAACACACUUAUUAGGGAGAACUACAGAGUGGUGAAACCCAUUCAUCCCCGAAGGAAUUAACGUUGACGAGAGGACCCUGACAAUGUGAGAUUAACGAGACUAUGUUCGGAACAGGGCGGGACUUCUUCUGAGAUGAGCUUUCUACAAUACACUUGAUUUGCCAUAAUACAGAGUUUUUUACUUCAGGGUAUGAAACUGCAACCUGGUGGAUUGUGACACAGAAUCAACUGGAAAGUCGUCCUGGAAACCGUUAGGAAAAGGGCAGGUGCUUGCAAAAGAUACAUGGCUUGUGAUUGGAUGAACCAUCUGUCCGUCACGUAUCACGCAGAUCACGUGGUUUCUGCAAGGGCACCGAUUGGUCGAACCGCUGUGGUUUCAGACGCAAGCACAGCACCUGAGGACCGGUGUGGGUACCAGAUUGACUCGGCUGCCAGAUGGACUCGGGGUCCUGCGCUUACAGAUGACGUGUCGACACUUGACGUAUCGACACAAGCCAGCGGACAAAACCGGAAGGGUUGUUUAUAAAAGGGCUCAUUCAUGGACAUAAACAGAAGGCUCAAUUCGUUUUGGUUUUGAUUUCAUUGAGCGCAGCCGUUCUUUUGCACAAACAAAGCCAUUGGAAACACGUCUAAAAGCACUGAUGAAUGCAUAUGUAACCCAGUUCCUGUUAGGGACUCUUAUUCUGAAGGAGGAGAACAGAAGUGUGCGUGUGGAUCGCUGUUUUGACUCUGUGUUGGGAGCGCUGGAAAUAAAGUGGAUCGCCCCGUUCAGUGAAUGGAGUUAACCGCUUCUUCUUUUAUAUAUAACCCAAGUAUAGGCAACAAUAAUUUGUACAUUAGAUUAUUAUUCAUAGAUUAGAAUAAUCAAAAGGAGAUCGUUAAUACUUGGGAAGAACAUGGGAAUGAAUGAAACACGCACGCGCAUUUAAAGGACAGCGUUUACAGGAAGUGCGUCAUUAUUGCGCAUCUCGGACCCCGAGUCGAUCUGGCAGCCGAGUCAAUCCGACACCCACACCGGCGGGAUGGUUUCCCGCACAAUUGGGAUUUCGCGAAUCCAGCGCAUGGUGAACAAAAACGGGAAAUAAAAUAAACUAGAGAGUCGCGACACACUGAGAGACUCCGGCCAAACAGAGGGAAGCGAGGGGGUCGAGCCUUAAGGGCCUGACACCUUUUGUGCAAUAAACAAAAGAAAUACUAUGACUGCUGAUUUACCGACUGGACGUGUCUGGUUCACGCCAUCUUCUUUUCGUCUGGUCUUAAAGUAGUCACAAACUGCUUAAAUGGGAUUCAACAGCUUUUCUUUGUGUUGGUUUCUCGUUUGCCAGUUAAUUAGGUUAACUAAUAUAGUGUACAUAGAGAGGAACCAUGAAGUGGUGGUCAUGGACGGUGCGGUACCUUAGGUUUGGACAACUUUCCUUUGUUGCGUGCAGAACUAUUGCGAUCUGAAAAUGUGAAAUGUUUGGAGAUGUAAUCUUAGUAUGCAAGUUAUUAAAACAAUUGUGUUCUUCAAUCAAAACCUUACUUAAAGAAAACAAAAACGUAUAUUGAAGCACAAUAUUCUUCAAUGAAAGACGGAGAGUAGAUUACUGUUCUAUGAAUCGGACCAUUGGAGUUAAAACGUGUACAUUUUAGCACAACCGCCCUGAGCUCUGAAGGUUUUAUAGAGGUGCAGCGAGUGGAACUCACUUUUAAAUGUCCUCCUUUAAUGUGUGUCCCGAAAGAUGUUUACAUUUGAUGUACAUACCGUUUUUACAGGGCUCACAGACCCUGGAGUAUCCCUGUGGUGUGUGUCUCUGGUGGGACGAUGGGCUUCAAGAUAAACAGGUCACAACUGUCAUUGAAUCCAUGUUAAUUAAAUGUUUCAUUAAA